GUUCGAGGUUGCCAUCUUGGCACGGUAUUUUUGGACACGUAGUGCAGCUGAAAAUGAAAAGCAUUGGCUUUUCUAAGUUUAUGAAAUAAAAGGAAGCUGUCAAAAUUCCAAUUGCUAUUUUUUCCCUGUAUUUUACAGUUAUUAAAAUGAGUAGGUGUUGCUGCGUGAAAAUUGUGCCAGUAAAGAAGUGAAAAAAUCCAAGUGGGAUUUUUUUUCCAAAGUUAAUGUUCGCUCUAAAGCGAAUUCUUUAGCUGCUGUCAAAACACAGCAAAAACGAAAUAAGUGGCUUGCAGUUAUCGACCCUUCAAACAGACUUGAUUUAUCAUGUGAGAAUUUAGUUUGCUCGAAACAUUUUGUCUCAGGUACACCAUCAGACAAUUGUGAAGAUGUAGACUGGGUUCCUUCGUUGUUGAUCAAUAAUGCUGAUCCGGAAUCUGAUGGAAUCAUUGUAGAAUGUAACCUGAAUAAUUCCGAAAGCAACAUGAGUAAUAUGGGUAAGAAAAUCUAUUUCUGUUACACAGCCAACUACCAUCACAGUAGUAAUUAAAAUUUCCGUACUAUUUUGAGAUCAAAAUGUUCACUCUUCUGAUCCCUUGAAUGUCAAAGAAAGUAAUUUGGAAUGUAACAUUAGUGACGUUCAAGAAUGUAUUCUUUGCAACAUG